rnacentral:rRNA from 1 species
UACGUAGGGGGCAAGCGUUGUCCGGAUUUAUUGGGCGUAAAGAGCGUGUAGGCGGCCAAGCAGGUCCGCUGUGAAAACUCGAGGCUCAACCUCGAGACGUCGGUGGAAACCGUUUGGCUAGAGUCCGGAAGAGGAGAGUGGAAUUCCCGGUGUAGCGGUGAAAUGCGCAGAUAUCAGGAAGAACACCCGUGGCGAAGGCGGCUCUCUGGGCCUUACCUGACGCUGAGGAGCGAAAGCGUGGGGAGCAAACAGG